UUAGACUUCAGUUGCGGUCGGUUUCUCCGACGAUUCGAACGCAUUGUGAUAUGUACAAGAAUUAAAUACAAAAAUAAUACUUUAACAGUAAUACCUAUUUAAGUAUAUGUGGUUUUAUUAAAAGUGAAAGUAUUAGUUAGACACUUACAACAAUGAAUCCAGAAACCGGAAUGUUACAAAGGAAAAAUUUUACAGCCUUAUCAACCAACGCGACAGUGUUCCAAGAACCAUCGAACCUGCUACCCCCAGAACAACCACAAGAACCAGUAGCAGACAUUUCUGGUCCUACCGCUGUACCGCUUAUCGGCAAAUAUGUUAAGAAAAUAGCCCAACAUGACCCCAAAAAGAACAAGAAGACGGAAAAAGAUACUUCAGAACCUGACAGCAUGAUGUGUUAAUGGGAACAUUUAAGAACUGAUGAUCAAGAUCAUAUUCGAAACAAAUGCAGUCCUACAAUCAACACCAAUCAUCAUCGUUCUAGCUUGGCCAAAUAGUCAAUUGAUAUCCGGCUAAAUAUAAAAAAAAAAGUUCGAAAAAGUAUUUUAAAGACUAAGCUUUAUUUAUGAAUUUAUUAGUUAUGUUUAAAUUAAUUAAGUAAUUAAUAGUAAAUAAAAAAUUGA